CGGGUACGACAGUUUUGACUCUGAAACCGAAAAAUACAAUGUUCUGGGUACGACAAUCUGUAACGCUGGUCCUGUUCCGAAUCCCGAAACCCCGAACCCCGCGACUCCCGAAAUCAAGUCAGUGAGUGCGAGUCUUCUUCUCGUGGCCGUAAGCGUGGGAAGGAAGGGCCCAUAAAACACCCAAGAAGAAGAAGAAGAAGGAGGGACAGUUGCGUCUCCGUAUUUUACCGCUAUUAUGGCACUGUGUGUGGGUGAUGGGUGCAACCAAGGAGAGCAACAGUGGCUUUAGGAAGGACAUGACGUUGCGAAGAUCUCCCCGUGGUCCUGAAAGAAUCAUGGAAUGGGGGAUAAGCUCAAGAGAAGAGACUGGUCCCCAUCAGGUUUUUGCCAAAAUGAAAUCUACAUCUGUGGUACAACCAGAGGAUCAGGAAGUCAUCACCAACAUCAAGCCAAUAUUUCUGCAGUGUACAUGAAAAAUGAGGGCAGAGACUGAUGAUAUGGAGGUAUGGCGGCUCAUCAAGGAGAUGGAGGUUGACGUGGAGGAGGAUGGCGGCAAUGUUGUCAUGUUGGAGGCAACACCAGUGGUGGUGGGCCCCAGGAACCACCUCACACUAGCAUUGGAUACCACAUCUCUUCCCCUUCCAGUAAGCACCCUAUCGUCUCCCAUCCAGGUGUGUUUAUUAUUUAUUUUAUGUCUAUAUUGGUGCAAAGUUGUAGUAGUACUGUUAGUAGUGCAUAAAAUGGGAUCACUAAUAAGUAAGAAAAAAUUACAGUUCUAUAUUAAAACUUCAGACACUUUUGUUUCCAAUUAAAUAAUUUCUCAAAUGUAUGAUGCCCCAUAAGUUGCAAUUUUGCAUCUCGUGGUCAAUUUCAAGGUACUGCUAAUUAGGUGUUAAAUGCAGUACACUUCUGUAUAUGCCAAGUAAGCUAUGGGGAGGCAGAGGCUGAGUGGUUAGCGUGCGAGCGCAGUGUCCAGGAGGACCCAAGUACGCAUCUCACCCGCUGCCACAAACUGGGAUUUUUCAGUCACCACUGAGUGGCCUAAGAUUACCAACAUGCUGUUCUGAAGACCACCUAGCAACCAGGACUUUAGAUUCCCUCUCUAAAAAGAGGAUCAAAGAUGAGCUCUGGUGUGGUGCCAAAUUCUGUCCCAUCCUGAUCUAGGCAUGUGCAGAAGUCAAUGCUUACUAUCACAAUGUGUUGGUAUCCACAUUUGUCCCAGGCAAGAUGGCAGCAAUACAUCAUGCUAUUUUUUUUUUAUGAAAAAAUGGCCAAAUUCAAGGCUGACAUGGACCCCAUAGCUCAGCUACUACUGAAUGGAGAGUAUCCCAUAAACCUGACUUUGCAUCAGAAGGAAACUCUGAGGAGACAGAAGGACAAUCAUGAAGUCAAAGGUAAUGCUACCCUGGGGGACAACAUGAGUCAAGCAAGAUGGCACCUCUAUAAACUUACCUGUGCCAUAUCAGGCUGGGGCCAACCAUCAGCUUCAGCUUCCUCCCCUCACCUCUGUGGUGCAAUGGUUAACGUGCCUAGCUACAAAUCCACGGGGUCGGGUUUGAAUCCUGGUCUGGGCAGUCAGCAUGCAGCUCACCCUCCCCUUUGGGCUGGUCAAUAAAUUGGUACCUGGGAAAACCUGGGGAAGGCAAACCGUGGUAACCCAGAUGUCACACCGAACCUGUGUCAGGUUAGAUGCAGUAACGAGGUCACUGGUUGAGUGACCUGAUUCCCAAUACGGGACCUGUCAGAUAGGGGUUUGCCCUGCCCUCUCAUAUUUACCUGUUUGUCUUUGUAUAAAAUGAAAUCUGUACGACUUUCCUCACUCCCUCUCCUGCUUCUUACCACCAAAGAUGGUGGCAGUGUCCACUGAAACCGUCUGGUAAAUAUAAAUUUUUUGGCUGCUAGUAUGGGUUAUCUUCACAUCAAGAACACAUUAGUGUGAUUUUCCUAGUCUAUUGUCCUUUCCUUACGAACGGUCAAAUCCUUUGUGGGUGGCUCCCUGUUCAUCCACAAGAGGCACUUGCAUCCUUGUAAAAUAAGCUGAUUGCUUCAAGUAAACAUCAUCCCACACCAUACAUUUUCAGGACAUCCCAUAACCCCUUCUUGUCAACCUAUCACAGGCCUUUUUCAGGUCCAUGAAAUCAGCAGACUGCUUCCUGUCCUUCUUUAGUUACAUAGUCUUCCAUCUUCUUUAAAAGCACUUUAAAGACGAAUAUUAUAAUAAAGUUUAUUCAAAAUUCCAUAAACGUCUUCAUAGUUUAAAAAGUAAGCACCUAAUGAUAACUGAAAGAUUAUAUAAUUCAGCAGUACCUACCUAUGUGAUCAAAACUACAUUAUUGGCACAUCUUGGUGUGAUGGGGAAAAUGAUUUUUAUUUAAGAAGCAUUAGUUAAAUGAUGAAUGAGAGAUGAGCAGUGUAAUGAAUGAAACUGACUACAGUUUUGUAAGGUGAUAACAUUAAUAGUCUCUAGUCAGUGAAAUAAAUCAGCUGCACUGAAAUUAUAGCAAAUAAUAACAUGUCAAUUCAUAAUAUAACCUCAAUGUGAGAUUCAUAUAAUAAAUAAUUACAUAACAUCACAAAACUAUCCUUUGUCAAUAUAGUCAGUUUCAUUUCAUGUCCAUCCACAAACCGUGAAUUUUGAUAGAUGUGGCACCUGUGCAUUGUUAUUUCAUGAUUGUGUGAAAAUCAACUCCUGUUUUAAAUAUUCAAGCUAUUUCUUCAAUACAUUUGAUUUUUUAUGCAUACAAAAAACAUCAGAUCUUCUUGGAUAAAUCCCAAACAUGCUGAUUUACAUCAAUAACAUGCCAUACAAGCGCACAAACGACAAGCUUGUAUCAAACAGUAUAGUUAGAUCAUACUCGAAUAAACUAUGACCUUUUAAAUUACAAUUAUUUUGAGCAUUUAUUGCAUUUAAAUCACAGGGGUAAUAUUAAAAAUAGUAUGAAAAAUUGGUGAAUGUGUUGCUAGGCUAUUUUGAAUAUUACUUAUGUGGUUUUCACACAAUAAAUUAUUGAAGCAUCUUUAAUUCGCAUUUACACUGCCAGAUGUUUGUUUAUAUACCUGAAAUGAGAUGAAUUAUAGGUAUUUGAAAGGCCACAGUUUGUUCGUGUGACCUUCCUAUAUUGUUUGAUACAAGCUUGUCUUUUGUGUGCUUGUAUGUUAUAUUAUUUUGUGUGCUAGUAGAUUAUAUUAUUGAUGCAAAUUAGCAUGUAAGGGAUUUAUCUAAGGUUUUUUUUUUUUUUUUUUUUUUUUUU